AAGCGAAUAUCUAAGGCUACGAUCCACGAAAAGAAACUAGACACAAUAAGAAGUCUGUGGAAGAAAAUUGAAGGUAAUUCAGGUAUCGGAAGAUCAUGAACAGAGGUCCCGAACGUCGACAACGCGGUUUACGGAUUUCAAAGGACAUAAUCGAACUUUCAUUAAG